rnacentral:rRNA from 1 species
UGCCAGCAGCGCGGUAAUACGUAGGGCGCAAGCGUGUCCGGAAAUUAUUGGGCGUAAAGAGCUCGUAGGCGGUCUGUCGCGUCUGGUGUGAAAUCCCAUGGCUCAACUGUGGGCUUGCAUCGGGUACGGGCAGACUAGAGUGCUGUAGGGGAGACUGGAAUUCCUGGUGUAGCGGUGGAAUGCGCAGAUAUCAGGAGGAACACCGAUGGCGAAGGCAGGUCUCUGGGCAGUUACUGACGCUGAGGAGCGAAAGCAUGGGGAGCGAACAGGAUUAGAUACCCUGGUAGUCCAUGCCGUAAACGUUGGGCACUAGGUGUGGGGCGGGUUCCACUCGUUCUGUGCCGCAGCUAACGCAUUAAGUGCCCCGCCUGGGGAGUACGGCCGCAAGGCUAAAACUCAAAGGAAUUGACGGGGGCCCGCACAAGCGGCGGAGCAUGCGGAUUAAUUCGAUGCAACGCGAAGAACCUUACCAAGGCUUGACAUGUACGAGAACGCGUUAGAGAUAACGAACUCUUUGGACACUCGUACACAGGUGGUGCAUGGUUGUCGUCAGCUCGUGUCGUGAGAUGUUGGGUUAAGUCCCGCAACGAGCGCAACCCCUAUCCUAUGUUGCCAGCGGGUUAUGCCGGGGACUCAUGGGAGACUGCCGGGGUCAACUCGGAGGAAGGUGGGGAUGACGUCAAAUCAUCAUGCCCCUUAUGUCUUGGGCUUCACGCAUGCUACAAUGGCCGGUACAGAGGGCUGCGAUACCGUGAGGUGGAGCGAAUCCCAAAAAGCCGGUCUCAGUUCGGAUCGGGGUCUGCAACUCGACCCCGUGAAGUCGGAGUCGCUAGUAAUCGCAGAUCAGCAACGCUGCGGUGAAUACGUUCCCGGGCCUUGUACACACCGCCCGUCAAGUCACGAAAGUUGGUAACACCCGAAGCUCACGGCCCAACCCGCAAGGGAGGGAGUGUCGAA